GGAGGGGAGGCGGGGCCAUCACCCCGGACUAGUAAAAACGUACGUGUGUUUGUGCCAUGCGGCCCCUCAAAUGUGACGUGUUGUAUUAGAGACGCCUCCCCGUGAGGUGUGCGCGCGCGUGUUAUCUCCACCUCUCGGCCAUUGUCUCCUCAUCACGGCGACCCCUGCAGUGUACCCCCGCUCCACCCUCCCUCACCCGCCGCUGCCCGCAACGUACCUCUGAAAAGAGGAAAAGAUGAGUACAUUCCUGCUUUGGAGAAAAAAACAGUUGAAUAAAAAAACAAAUGUUUAAGCACCACUUUUGCGUGUGAUGUGAGGUUGAUUUUUGUGUGAGGGUCUUUUUUGUUUAGUUAGUGUGUGGGCGUGUGUAUCAGAGGCCCGCCGGCUCUGCCUUUUAGAAGAGGUUCUCUCCUCUUAUCGGCACUAUGGACUGCUCGCAGCGGGGUUCCUUUUGGUCGCUCGCUUAAUAGCAUUGCCAUCACACACGCGCACACACUAAACUCUCCCGCGAGUGUUAUCAACAACUUAUCAAACCCGCUUUCGUUAGUGUUGCCUGGCAACCUAUUGACAGACCUGAUUUCAUUCUCCGCCCCUUUUUCCCCCCUUUAACCCCAUCUAUCCGUUGCCAUGGUAACAGUUGUCAUCUCUUUCAAAGUAUCCUCAUUUGCCACCAGGGUGGGCUUCAGGGUGACCACUUUGAUCGAUGGUGUGUGUGCGUGUGAGAGUUGAUUACUGGCUGUCUCAUACACACACACACACACAUACACGCACACACACACGGCCAUUGACUUCCAGCUACACGAACAUCCUUUAUUGUCUACUGAUGGACACACACUGGUAUCAAUCCCGCUUUGGAAAAGGAUGUGAACAUCUGAUGCCCAGUUACCAUGGCGACCAGGUGUUUGCAUCCCGCAUGGCGCCUGUUUCAACGACGAUAACUUCGGGAACUUUGUUGCACAAAGAGGGUGCCCACUAUUUCAGCGUUUGAUGACCUCUAAGAAGACAAAGGCUUUCUGUUCUAGAAAUUGGAAAAGACCCCAGAGAAAUUGUGUGGUGCAGGACAGCAAUUUAUUUAAAAGCGAAACAACAAAAAACAUAAUUUUGGUUGCGCAUUCUUGUGGCAAAACGUUCUCAUCCCAGCAUGUUUGUCAUUUUUGCGGCAUGACUCACUCGCACCAUGAUGUUUUGUGAUAUUUUUCAACUAAAUUCAAUUAGGAUUUACAUCUGCUAUCUAUAAAAUUGUGACAGCAUCAGCAAGAAAAGACAUUUUAAACAUGUUUCAAACAAAUAAACAGUCGUAUUUCUUGAACGGACUUGGUGUUCCUGAAUCCGAUGAACUUGAACGCCCGCUACAAACCACGUGACAUUGUCUUCGUUCCUGAUUGGCCGAAUGAGUUUUGCCACUGACAGCCCGAACGUCUGACACCUAGCAUAACUACUAAACGUGACAUUUAACAAAGAUUAUUUGUUCACUUUUGCACACAAAAUACAUUUUAUGUCAACAUUAGGAGCGGCAACUAAAACCGUCCAAGCGACAUUUUGAACUGGCCCUGACGUAAUUUGGCUACUCUCAGCUGUAACCGAGUUAAACGAGCCCACUGAGCUCAUCACGCUCGCCUGUCACCUUCGCCUGAUUGAUGCCACAAAUCACGCAAGGGAGAUCUUCUGCUUCUCACCAUCAGCAACAAGUGGAGAUAAAGAGUAUGACAUGUUGCAAAGUUCGCCACGGAUGACAAGGUGGCAGAGCAGAUGCGACGUUGCAACCCUCGACGCUGGCGAGAAGUGAAGCAGAGAGGCUAUUACAUGCUGUCUGACACCUCUUCCUUCCCUUCUGCCAGAGAUGCCUCGGCUGUCGUCUGCUUGUUUUUACAAAGGGGCCGAGGAGGACAACGUGAUUAUGAACUCCUAAGCUGCUUAAUGCUGCCGUCAAAUGAGAGCGCCGGCUCGGCUCAAUUUCCUGCGCGUCGCCGCCGCCGCCGCCGCCUCACGUUCUGCCCCACGUCACCCUCUCACGCACGCACACCGCCACGCACACGCACGACGUGAUGGAUUAAAGCGGUCGUGGGGGAAAUGAAAGGAAGCAAACCUUCCAUGAAAUUGGUUCCCCAGAAGUUUGCACGCCACAGGAGAGGAGGGGGCGGGGGUCGGCUGGUGCUGAAAACGUGCAAAGGCUUUGCCUCCUCCUCCUUGUGGCUCCCAAGGAGAGUCAUCAGACGACCCCGGUCAGGUCACGGGGGUUCAGAGGUCACCCGGCCAAGACGUCCACGUGCCCGUGUCAAAACACCAGCUGGUGCAACCAUCUCGGAUGUCUGCGGCUGCAUCGAACAAGGAACAGGUUUUGGCUCAGCUCAAGAAGGAUCUCCGCUCGUUGCUUGUGUCGUCCAAAUUCGGCUUGGACGCUAACCAGCUGAUGCGCGACUACGGCAACAUGCUGGGAUACCCCAUUCCGCUGCAAUUGCUGGGCUUCCGGAAUGUUCUGGACAUGGCCACAGCCAUGCCAGACGUGAUGUCUGUGACUUACGGCAUCAACGGCUGUCGGGUCUUUCAAGCCGUGAGUGACAAGUCCACCAUGCAUAUUGAGCAGCUGGUGGCCAAGCAGCGCAGCAAAAAGAAGAAGAGUACCGGCCAUCAUCAACCGGCACCCAUCUGGUACCACCAGAGGCGAAAUGUUUUUCUUUCGCUCGAUACUUUUAGGGCGCAGCUACGAAUCCUCCUCAGUCAGGGUCCUCUCAAAUUGUGUAGCUUGAAUUGGAGCUACAAGCGUUGCUUUGGCCACCCGGUGAUCCCCCACAACUUCGGUUUUAACACCCUCAAAGACCUGCUUGAGGCUGUGCAGGAUCUGAUCUUCAUCCAGCCCACCAACAUGAGCCAUAUUGUCUGCCUGAGAGACAAUGUGGUGUCGAUGAAUCACGCUGGAUUGUACUUCACGCCCGAUUGGGUCAAAACAAAGGCGGCCAAAAGCUCACACAGCAGCGGAAUUCCGACGCGAGGAAAACCGUCAGGGCCACUGACGUGUCUGCCCGCGGCGACGGAGCAGAAAGAUGGAGAAGCAGAUCCAGAUCGCGAUCAGAAACUGCCGCUGGAGAAGCCUUCGGGCAAGAAUGGGCCUCCCAUCGAGAAUAGUCACUUAACUGUGCAACCAGCAGAGGGCGACAAAGGACGCUGUACGGUUGUUGUGAACUGUGACGCGGUUCAAAGAGUCGAUUCAAGCCAAGUGGGAAACGUUGGCCACCCUAUUACGAACGCACACGAGGAAAACUCUUCACCUUGGGAAGGCAAAAUCAUGGCAGAAUAUGAUCGCUGUUCAACGGAGGCCCAUCGAGAAGAGACCAGUGAGGAUUCACAGAUUCCAGAGGAGAUUGCUGAGAAGAGCACAGACGUUUGUAGCCACCAUGCUGAGAUCCGAGACGAGGCUCAGAACGUGGCCCUGGAUGUCCUUUGCUGUGAGCGUCUCAAGCGGCCAACGCAGCGCGCCGCUCGCGAGAUCACGGCCGUCCAGGUGGAGCACUUCGAGUCUCCGGGACAUUUCUACAUCCAUUUCUGCGACGAGUCGCAGGCGUUGCUGGACAUGAUGUUUGAGAUGAGGCGAUUUUAUACCCGUCCUGAUGUGUUUAAAAUCUAUCGACUCCCACGGAGAUUCGUCCGACGGGGCCAACCCUGUUGCAUGUCGGCGACGGGCCUCUGGUUCUACCGAGUGGUGAUACAGCGAGUUGUCAACGCCAGUCAGGUGGACGUGUUCUAUGUGGACUAUGGCCACACCACCAGGGUGGACUCGGACAAGCUGAAGUUUCUCAAGACGUGCUUCUCCAUUCUCCCGGCGCAAGCAGUCCCCUCGUCUCUAGCUGGAGUCAAACCAAAAACUGUGGAGCCCAGAGGCCACGGCUUCCUUCCAGAGUCUUUGCGCCAAUCACGUGCUCGCGGGCGCCCUCGAGUGUUACGCCGGAGACGUGCUGCAGGUCUACCUUUGCGACACACGCACAAGCGAAGACGUCUAUGUCCACACCGUCCUGCUGAGCCAGGGCCACGCCGUGGCCUGCUUGCCCUCGGACAGCGCCGGGUGUGUCGAGGACAAUCCAUUCACGUUGUACCUGGGUGACGGCGCAGUCGAUCUGCAAGAUGUGGAGAAGAUGACGCUGGACGAUCUCAAAGACGCCGCCACCACCAAAGAGAAGGUUGAUUUGGACGAGAUGCCCGCCUUGGAGCCCAUUGUGGAGGAGCAGGUCAGCGCUCACUUCCUGGUUUGAUGAUAGAUGUGCUUGGGUUGUCUUUGGUAAUAUUGCAAAACAUAAUUUGCUACCCCACCAGUACUCACUAUGCGUAAAUUUGAGCAGAAAGCUCAAAUCCAUUUUCCUUUAAUUUUGUUGUCAAAGUAAGGGUGCUCACUAUUGUGAGGAGAUUCCAAACGAGCUGUGGGACACCUUAAACAUUUGAAUGUCCUCCUAAGAUCUGUGACUGCUCCAAAGGUAUACACACACACACGCGCACGGUUAUUUUCUAGUCAUUGUGAUGCAAUAUUUUCCUCUGCUGUCCAGGUAUUCAAGUCACUGUUCUUUUGGCAGUUCUGUUUGUGGCCUGACAAUUGAACCCUGUCGUAUUUAAUUGUUCGGCUAUUUUGGUUUCUAACAUCGCUGCUAUAAAAGGAAUUGCUUUUAUGUUUGACUGUUUAUAUAUUUUUUUAAAUUCAAAGCAUUGGGUUUUUUUUGUAAUGUUAACAUUGUGACAUUAAAGGACAAAAAUGUG